UACGUAGGGUGCAAGCGUUAAUCGGAAUUACUGGGCGUAAAGCGUGCGCAGGCGGUUUUGUAAGUCAGAUGUGAAAUCCCCGGGCUUAACCUGGGAACUGCGUUUGAAACUACAAGGCUAGAGUGUGGCAGAGGGGGGUGGAAUUCCACAUGUAGCAGUGAAAUGCGUAGAGAUGUGGAGGAACACCGAUGGCGAAGGCAGCCCCCUGGGUUAACACUGACGCUCAGGCACGAAAGCGUGGGGAGCAAACAGG
rnacentral:rRNA from 1 species